rnacentral:lncRNA from 1 species
GGCCCUCCGGCCUCCGACCGAGCGGUGCAGAGCAUGCUGGGAGAUCACUUCCACCUGAGGAGCACAAAAGACCCCAGGAGUGGAGGAAGCUGGCCUGAGGCCAACCGGAUGUAGCAGACUUGCUGGGCCCAAGGAGGGAGGUCUGGUGAUGGAGCCUCGAGUACAUAUCCUUCCAAUCCUAAGAAAGAGGAUAGAUUGCCACAUGCCGGAACUGGAGUCUUGGCUUUCGAAAGAUCUUUUCCAUUACCUCUGCAGCAAGAAUGACGUCUUCUAAAGACUCAGGAUGGCCUCUAAUGUAAGGAUUCAGUAAAUAUUGAUCAAUUAACCCACCCACGAUGAGGUUCCUGUCAACCACUUAAUCACCUUCAAAUGGCGUGUUUAUUUACUCAAUUCCUCUGCCCUGUUUCUGCAGCUUCAUGGUCUAAUUCCCUGAUCCUCCAACCAGGAGGCCCCCCCAGGCCUGACAGAAGUGUUUGUAAAGUGCUUAGAACUACCAGAGAGUUGGUGCUCAAUACGUAGUUGUUGAAUGAAUACAUGAAUGAUCGUAUAAAUGCAAGAGUGGUGUCAAUAUACAAGGAAAUAAGGACCACCAUGGACUCAGGGGAAGUCAUUUAUUGGUUGCCUUUCAGCUGAGCUGUCACCGGUGGUGUUACUUGGCACAGAUGAAGGUAAAUAGGCCAAUGUAAUUCCCUGUCUUUCUGUGAGUUAGCUGGGAGGACACUGAGUGGCGGUGACAGGGACGUUCGGGAGCUAAAAUGUUGUGCGGAGACAUCGUGUGGGGCAAAGCUAAGGCUGGAGGAACCAUGGUAACUUAAAGCUGCAAGGAAGAAGAUGCUGUAAGGGACAAGGAAGAUACACAGGUGGGGAAAUGAGGAAGACACUCAAACAUGAAAAGUGAAUAGAACUGGGUUACAUUAAGAGAGGAAAGGUCUCCAAAUGACUGGCCCUGGGUAUUUGUAUUGAUUCCAGCGACCUUGUAGCUAGUAUCACCUUCCAAGAGGUUUUUCUCUACCUUGCUUUUGUUUGGGGUGUUCCAUGAGAUUAUCUCUCUUUCCAUCCACCACCCUCUUGGGGUUAUAAAGUAGGUUGUUAGACAACAAAAAUAUCCUUGCUAAAAUAUAGGGGUUGAAAAUUCUAACUUGUAUUCGACUUGAUUCUUCUUCUUCUCAUCUGUAAAAUGGGCCAGCUGUAGGUCAAAUACUAGUGGUCUCCAGAAACAUAGCUUAACCCUUCAAGGAGUAGACAGGUCUACAGAUCUCUGCCCCUGUGGGUUCAUACAGAGAGAAGGCGCAUAAUGAGAGACGGGGUAUAAUGAGAGACGGGAUAUAAUGCAGAAAGACG